AUCGAACGCUGGCGGCAGGCCUAACUCAUGCAAGUCGAGCGGAGCGGCGGACGGGUGAGUAAUGCCUAGGAAUCUGCCUGGUAGUGGGGGAUCACGUUCGGCAACGGGCGCUAAUACCGCAUACUAUCAGACGAGCCUCGGUCGGCUUAGCUAGUUGGUGGGGUAAAGGCCUACCAAGGCGCCGAACCAGAACUGGUCUGAGAUGAUGGUCAGUCAAACUGGAACUGAGACACGGUCCAGACUCCUACGGGAGGCAGCGGUGGGGAAUAUUGCACAAUGGGCGCAAGCCUGAUGCAGCCAUGACGCGUGUAUGAAGAAGGCCUUCGGGUUGUAAAGUACUUUAAGCGGGGAGGCGUUACCCGCAGAAUAAGCACCGGCUAACUCCGUGCCAGCAGCCGCGGUAAUUC
rnacentral:rRNA from 1 species